GAGAGAGAGCGGGAGGUUGCCGCUUGAAAUAGAUACAUAUAUAGAUAGGCUACUAUAAUGUACUAUAAUAUAAAAACAUUAUGUAAGUGUUCAUACUGUUAUUAUUUUGUUGUUGUUUGUUUAGGUUAGCAAUAUUUAUCGCCGUCAUUAAUAAUAACAAACAAACAAACAAACACGAAACGGAUAAUCAUCGUGAACAUCACGUACGACAAGGCGUGAACGCAGCAGCUCCUGCUUUAAAUUGAGAAUAAGCUCUUACAGUGAUUUGUGAUGUCAUAUGGCAUUUGACGGUGAUUACUGCAAAUCUACAGUGACGGACCUUUAAAUAAAGCUCAUUAUGAAUCAUCA